UGAAAUCUCUGUCUCCAAAGAUUUCCAGGGAGAUAAUGUAAAGCAUUGGAUCUUCCGUGGCUUUCAGACUGCCACUGGCCUGGAGGCUGUGUCUUCCACUAGCUGUCCAAAUCUUUUUCUCUAGGAUUCUGAGUCUGGCACAGGUCGGAUAAAUCUCUCCAUGUGUGAAGACUUUCGUUGCUUCAAGCAGAGUUUGUGGACAUUUCUGCAAACCACCUCCAUCCCCAUCUAGAACUGCUUUGAUGCCUCGACUUUUUCUAACAAGAAGCAUAGCAUAGCCUCUCCCACUUGGAGGCCGGAGGUGCUCCAUUUUCUCAGUUGGUGUCUUCCUCCAGGACUAUACAUUCUUAAAACAACUAAGUACUAGCUCCUUUGCAAACUGGACCAAAAUCUUCAAAGGAAAGAGAAAGGAAGAUUGUCUGCUGAUCAAAGCAGUCACCGGGAAAAGUGGGGUAUCUCCAAUCUCUUCCAUCUCAAGGCCAACUCAUCCCAACUUCUGGUUGUACUUCCUCUGCGGAAAGACAAAGGAAAAAUCUCUGAACCAUCUCUGCUCACCUUAGGGAUGGUGGUCGUCAAAG
rnacentral:lncRNA from 1 species